rnacentral:rRNA from 1 species
UGGGGAAUAUUGCACAAUGGGCGCAAGCCUGAUGCAGCCAUGCCGCGUGUGUGAAGAAGGCCUUCGGGUUGUAAAGCACUUUCAGCGGGGAGGAAGGCGGUGAGGUUAAUAACCUCAUCGAUUGACGUUACCCGCAGAAGAAGCACCGGCUAACUCCGUGCCAGCAGCCGCGGUAAUACGGAGGGUGCAAGCGUUAAUCGGAAUUACUGGGCGUAAAGCGCACGCAGGCGGUCUGUCAAGUCGGAUGUGAAAUCCCCGGGCUCAACCUGGGAACUGCAUUCGAAACUGGCAGGCUAGAGUCUUGUAGAGGGGGGUAGAAUUCCAGGUGUAGCGAUGAAAUGCGUAGAGAUCUGGAGGAAUACCGGUGGCGAAGGCGGCCCCCUGGACGAAGACUGACGCUCAGGUGCGAAAGCGUGGGGAGCAAACAGG